rnacentral:lncRNA from 1 species
UGUGAACGAUGCGUCGAGGAAAGGUUGGAAAGGUUGUUGGGGUGUUUGGUAGAGAUAGGGUUGUUGGAUGUUUUGGUUUUGUGAUGUUUGGGCUUCUUGGUUACGGUAGGAGGAGGGGCGGUUAGUGUUGAAUGAUCGUUGGGUAUUCUGGCUUAGGCGACUUUGGUAGGGUGAUGGGGUGGGUGCGAAGCGAUGUUAAGUCUCAGGUUGAUGGUCAAUUUGUUGCUGGUGGUAUGAGGUAUGCUCUUGGUAUUGGGGUUGGGUGUAUGGAAUGUUUUGGUUGUAUGUUUG